GCAGUCGCUUAGCGAAGGCUGUCCCGCGGCGGGCGCAGGCGCGGGUGGCGGGGUGUGCUUGGGCGGGAAGUGGGUGGUGAGGGCCGCUCUGGGCUCAGCGUUCCCCACCUGGAAUGCGUCCUGGCUUCGGCUGGCCCGGCCCAACCCUCAGCGGCCGCGGUGCCCAGGCCCACUCCUUCCGCGCCUGGAAACGUGAGACGGGUCACUGAGGACGACGUAGGCAAACUUUGCAGAGCACGUUGCCACCUGUUGGAGUAGCCGCUCCAGCCCCAGUCGAAAUGCACGGCCGAACAAUGGCAGUUCUGAGUGGCUCAGGGGCCCACACUUUCUUUAAAACCGAUGCACUCGUAGUAAUAUUUCUUAUGCCCCACAUCCAGAGGCCUGUGCUCACCACCUCAGCAGUGCCCGGGGAGGUUCGCCAGGCGUGGGCAGGCUCUCCCUUGAAAGCACCUGACCUGGUUCUACCUUGCACUGGGGCUGAAUGGCAGUCCAGAAGGAAAGUGUGUGGAGACAGAGAAAGGUACGAUAGUACGUUAAAAACAGGCAGCUUAAACAGCAGCGGGAAUUACAUGGGAAUCUCUUAUUGUAAUGCAUGAACAGAUUUCACAAGAAAAGGGAACAGGACUGGACCGCUGGCUGUUCCUUCUUUGAUCCCAGGCAUGAUUUCAGCUUGUAGAAUAAAUGAGAAAUGCCUGUUGGUUUAAUUAAAAGAACCGCAUUGGCUGUGCUAGCCUGCCUGCCUUCUGGUGCCCAAGCAAGUGUACUGAUAAAGGAAUCAAAAGCUGCACA
rnacentral:lncRNA from 1 species